rnacentral:misc_RNA from 1 species
AUUGCUUUUUUUUUCUUUUAUGACUAAUUUAAACUAGAAAGAUAACUUCAUUUGAUUUGAUUAGUUUUGAUACCGGAAUUUCCAUAAGUACACGCGUAUAAUGUGAUUGAAGCCAUCUCGAAGUGUAUGCUAUUUUUAUAUACAUGAAGAAAUCUCUUAUUUCCUUAUAAAAUGUUGGAUUGCAUAGAUAUGUAAUGUAAAUAGUAUCUCGCAUAAUAUGCAAUGGUAUGUAUAAAUAAAUAAUGUUUGAAUUAUUAACAUAUGUAUGCAGGGUUUUUAUUUUCUACUUUUCAACAUGAACUGAAUUUCAUGCAUCAGAAUCAGUGUAUUGAAGCGGAGAAGUGAUCGAUUUUACAGUACUUUUAUUUCUGUUAAUAACAUCUGUAUAUUUCUGUACCAAUAGUUGUUGUAAAUAAAUGUUAUUAAAACG